GUAGGUGGCAAGCGUUGUCCGGGAAUUAUUGGGGCGUAAAGCGCGCGCAGGCGGUUCUUUAAGUCUGAUGUGAAAGCCCACGGGCUCAACCGUGGGAGGGUCAUUGGAAACUGGAGAACUUGAGUACAGAAGAGGAAAGCGGAAUUCCACGUGCAGCGGUGAAAUGCGUAGAGAUGUGGAGGAACACCAGUGGCGAAGGCGGCUUUCUGGUCUGUAACUGACGCUGAGGCGCGAAAGCGUGGGGAGCAAACAGGAUUAGAUACCCUGGUAGUCCACGCCGUAAACGAUGAGUGCUAAGUGUUAGGGGGUUUCCGCCCCUUAGUGCUGCAGCUAACGCAUUAAGCACUCCGCCUGGGGAGUACGGCCGCAAAGGCUGA
rnacentral:rRNA from 1 species